AUUGAACGCUGGCGGCAGGCUUAACACAUGCAAGCUGAACGAGUGGCGGACGGGUGAGUAAUGUUUGGGAAUCUAGCUUAUGGUGGGGGAUAACUACGGGAAACUGUAGCUAAUACCGCGUACCAUAGGAUGAGCCCAAGUGGGAUUAGUUAGUUGGUGAGGUAAAGGCUCACCAAGCCGACGAUCUCUAGCUGGUCUGAGAGGAUGACCAGCCCACCUGGGACUGAGACACGGCCCAGACUCCUACGGGAGGCAGCAGUGGGGAAUAUUGCGCAAUGGGGGCAACCUGACGAAGCCAUGCCGCGUGAGUUAAGAAGGCCUUCAGGUUUUAAAGUUCUUUCGAUAGCGAGGCGUUAACUACAGAAGAAGCACCGGCUAACUCCGUGCCAGCAGCCGCGGUAAUAC
rnacentral:rRNA from 1 species